CUGGACAUUGUUGAAUCUAGUUGAAUUUUAUACUAUAGCCAUGUUUUACUAUAAUGAUCAUAUCAUAUGGAUGAAUUUUCAUUUUGUGAAUUUUAGUCAUUGGAAUCACAACGUGCCUACUAAUGUGAUAUAACUUGUUUGGUAGGUUAUAUGCAAGUGUACAACUUUGUAAACCAACUACACACAGGAAGCAAAAUUUUCAAAAAUCUCAUAAAAUAAGAUGUGAUCGGAAUAGUGAAAUACGGUUAUGGUUGGAAAAUCAUGUAUUUCGGGUAAAGAUUGGGUUCUGAUAAAAGCGGUCAACCUUUGUACGCUUAAUCUUUCCUAUGAGGAGCCUUGUCUUCGGGAGGUAAACAUCUUCAAAUUUUUAUAUGUGCGGUUUUGUCUCAUCUAUGUGAGAGUUUAACGUGUGGAAGAAUCGACCAGACUAGGUCACGGAAAGGUAGGUAAGAGCGUUUCCGUGUAAUAAGUGACGAUUGAUUAGGGUUGAACGUUUCGAUUGAGCCCCAAACAUUGCCGAAUCCAGUUGAAUUUUAUACCAUAGCCCUGUUUUACUAUAACGAUCAUAUCGGACGGACGAAUUUUCAUUUUGUGAAUUUUAGUCAUUGGAAUCACAACAUGCAUACUAAUGUGGUAUAAUUUGUUUAGUAGGUUAUACAACUUUGUGAACCAACUAUAGAGAGACAGCAAAAUUUAAAAAAAUCUUGUGAAAUAAGAUGUGAUCAGAAUAGUGAAAUACGGUUAUGGUUGAAAAAUCACGUAUUUCAGGUAAAGUUUGGGUUCCGAUAAAAGCAGUCAACCUUUGGACGCUUAAUCUUCCCUAUGAGGAGCCAUGUCUUCAGGAGGUAAAUGUCUCCAAAUUUUUAUAUGUGUAAAGUCUCAUCUAUGUGAGAGUUUAACUUGUGGAAGAAUCGACCAAACUAGGUCACGGAGGAGGUAAAUGUCUCCAAAUUUUUAUAUGUGUAAAGUCUCAUCUAUGUGAGAGUUUAACGUGUGGAAGAAUCGACCAAACUAGGUCACGGAGAGGUAGGUAAGAGCGUUUCCGUGUGAUAAGUGACGAUGGAUUAGGGUUGAAUGCUUCGAUCGAGCCCCGAACGUUGCCGAAUCCAAUUGAAUUUUAAACUAUAGCCUUGUUUUACUAUAACGAUCAUAUCGGACGGACGAAUUUUCAUUUUGUGAAUUUUAGUCAUUGGAAUCACAACGUACAUACUAAUGUGGUAUAAUUUGUUUAGUAUGUUAUACAACUUUGUGAACCAACUAUAGAUAGGAAGCAAAAUUUUCAAAAAUCACGUGAAAUAAGAUGUGAUCGGAAUAGUGAAAUACGGUUAUGGUUGAAAAAUCAUGUAUUUCGGGUACAGAUUGGGUUCUGAUAAAAGCAAUCAACAUUUGUACGCUUAAUCUUCCUUAUGAGGAGCCUUAUCUUUGGGAGGUAAACAUCUCCAAAUUUUUAUAUGUGCGGUUCCGUCUCAUCUAUGUGAGAGUUUAACGUGUAGAAGAAUCGACCAGACUAGGUCACGGAGAGGUCGGUAAGAGCAUUUCUGUGUGAUAAGUGACGAUAGAUUAGGGUUGAACGUUUCGAUUGAGCCCCGAACGUUGCCGAAUCCAGUUGAAUUUUAUACCAUAGCCCUGUUUUACUAUAAUGAUCAUAUCAGAUGGACAAAUUUUCAUUUUGUGAAUUUUAGUAAUUGGAAUCACAAUGUGUAUACUAAUGUGGUAUAACUUGUUUAAUAAGUUAUACAACUUUGUAAACCAACUACACACAGGAAGCAAAAUUUUCAAAAAUCUCGUAAAAUAAGAUGUAAUCGGAAUAGUGAAAUACGGCUAUGGGUGAAAAAUCACGUAUUUCAAGUAACGUAGUGAAAUACGUGUUCAGCGUAGUGAAAUACGGUCAUGGUAAUAAUUAACCUUUUUUUGAUAAUGUUCGGGUCAAGCAAAUCUGCUAUCACUGUUAGCUCUUGUUCUUUGAGUAGUCUUUAACUUACCACGAGUGUUUAUCUUGCUCUAGCAAAUCUGCUGUCAUUGUUGCUCUUUCUUUUGUCGGUAGUCUUAGCUUAUUACAAGUAUAUGUCAG
rnacentral:lncRNA from 1 species